CACAGAGAACGCUGGCCUGAAAAGAAGUGUGCUGCUCACAGCACUAUUUUCCAUCCAUCUGGUUGCUGCAGGUGCAUAAGGCUGGUGAAAAUUUUGCAGGCAGAGCUAGCUGGUGUUCCAUCAUGGCUGGCUGUCAAACAGGAGGGAGAGGACUUCAGUGUGCUCGAGUCCUGGUGCACCUGCUGCUAGACCUGUCUGAAAGCCCUGGCAUCGCCUGCCCAGGAGUGUAAAGAAUGACUGAAGCGUUAAAUAAGGACGUGGCAGCUGAAGCUCAGUCAUAAGAGAGUGAUGACUAAAUGACAACGAGCAGAUGAUGUGUCUCCUAAUGAUCCUAUGGGAAGUCAGCAAACUGGACUAAACAGGAGACUUCCUGUGGACACACGGAUGUCCCACCCGGGUAAAAUCCUCUUUGUGCACGUGGGUGCCUACUCCACUGGCACUGUCUUCCCAGAGGAGCUCGUGGAGACCUAAAUCAGGCCUCUAAAGGUUAACCUGCGGGAAGGCGGAGGAUGCCGGGAGGGAAUGAUCACCCAGCUGGUCUGAGGCUGGUGACGUGGGCUGGUAACCUGAGAGCCUGUUGCACAGCUUCUGUGCCUGGAGUUGCUGUGGGAUCAGAAGGAGCUGGCUGGCUCUGUCCUGGUUUAUGCAAUGCCCAGUCCCCUCGGCCGCACUGCCCUCCUGAGCGGGAGCCUUUUGGCUGGGUCUGAAUUCGAUGUGCAGCGCCUGCUCCCACUAACUCACUGACUGCACGGUGCUAUUCUGCACUGCCCUGCCUGGAUUAUUCGGGAAUAUCUGGGAACAUGUGUUCCUGAACUGUCUGUUAUCAGCAAGUCCAAGAGCUGGGAAGCCCUAGGAAGCUUUCACUGUACUCCAUUUAUUUUUCCAUCCCCUCCCACACACCCUACCACUACACCAGGCAACAACACAGGAUACAGUAAAAUGGUUCCUAGAAACAUGUCAUCACUGUCAGUAAGGCUUUUUAAAUUCGUGUUUUAAAAUAUCCCAAACUACAACUUGGUUUCAAACAGUACCUUCACAGAGGUGCUUAUCCCACAGGAUGACUUGGAGAACCCAUCUGAUUUCAAAUAAAUUCAUGGUUUUCAGAAGGAACAAUUUCCUUUGUUAUCCCAUCUGGGCAGGCAUGUUGUUGUUA